AUGCCUUCACAUUCUGAAACCUUAAACAGUUUGAUGGACGGCUAUGGAAAUGACUUACCGAAAAUUCGGCCAAACAUCAUCUUUUGUUGUGUGUGCCAAGAGGCUAUAAAGCGGGCUAAGACCGCAGUCUAUCAGAAGAUGCAACAGAAGAUAAAUGAUGUCUGUAACAAAUUCAUAAAAGGAUUUUCGAAACAUCUGCCUUCAACGUGCAGAGAGAUAUCGGGACAUCAUACUGCACAAGCUCUUCCCUGGUGGGAGCCCAAGGGGAACAUGUUUUAAGAUAAAGUUAUGCUCAUAACAACUGUGCUGGUGGCUGUUGAAGGGAUACAUAUACAUGUUACUACCUCAUUUUAAAUGUCUUUACAUUAACAAAGCUGUUUUUCAUUAUUUCAUUCAGAAAAUGCAGUUAAAUGCCUUUAAAGUCAAAAAUGACCUUUAAAAUGUUCUAAUAGAUGGAUGUUUAUUGUACUGAAAAUAAUCUACUGUAGGUUUUUUUGGGGGGGGGGGUGUUCGUGUAAGGUGUAGAUUGUGUUGUUUACUAUUAAAUACGCGGUAUUUUUUUGGGGGGGGGGGGGGUUCGGUUCGUGUAAGGUGUAAGAUUGUGUUGUUUUACAUUAAAUACGCAUUAACAAUCUAAUCAUUUUCAUGUGAUUUUCUCAUUCUGGUUGUUUUCUUCAUUUAGCCAAGCCAUGCCAAAACAGAUAAUGUUUGAACUCCAAUAAUUAAUGUCAUAAUAGCCAAAUGAUUUGUAAAAAAUGUACAGUACAUGAAUAAAAAAAAAGCAAAAUAUGCAAUUCUUGCAAUUGUUUUUUCAAAAAGUUGCUUUACACUUUAAACUUGAUCAUUUUGUUUCCUUGUCAUUCUCAGUCACACAGUUCCACUUUGGGUAUUGCACAUUAGAGUUUAUGAUGCCUGGAGAGUUUUAAAGCUGCUAUUUAAAAGAACAGUUCACCCCUAGUAAAGUAAUAGUAAUAGUAAAAUCAUAAUUUACUGUUAGGGGACACAACUGUAAAUUACUCUUUGAACACUGUUGAAGUUUCUGACCACUAAACUAUCAGACAGGAUUGCAGUUUUCUGACAAAUGUGGUUUAACAUUAUACUGUAAGGAACUUGACUCAGAAUACAAACAGGCUAAUAUAAUAAUAGUGAUCAGCAUCUGAAUACUUUUGUUACAUCAUAAGAACAUAUGAAGAGUUGGUCCAGGGUUAGAUGAGGGUUUAACUGACUUUACUUCACACAUUUGACAGGUUUUUCUGUGCACACUUCAGCAAAACCAAAGCAAAACACAGUUAGAGUGCACUCUCACUUUUAAAUAAACAAAUUACAAAAAAAAAAGAAAAAGGAAAAUUGCAAUGUAUCUGGCCUGCAUUGUUGGAUCAUUUAUGAUUCUCUUUGGUAAGAUUUUAGAAAUGUUUUACCACUUGUUUGGCACAUAUUUAUUUGAUCUUGUCAAAAAAUGUUGAACUUUGGUUUGUAUUAGGAUUGUAUUUUGUCAGAAUUUUAAGAUAUUUAAUGUAGUUAUAUUAUAUGAAAUUGCCUUGCGCUGCUUUAUUUAACUUUAUUUUUUAUUAUAUGUCUUUUUUACAUUCCCUUAUUGUAUAGUUGUACUUGUAUCUUAUAUUUUAUAUUUGAUCUAUUUUUUUAGGCUCUACUGUUAAUUUUAUCUGUAUGCACCGGGGGUCUGAGAGUAACGCAAUUUCGAUUCUCUGUAUGUAUGUACUGUACAUGUGGAAGAAUUGACAAUAAAGCAGACUUGACUUGACUUGACUUAUAUUUUGUGCAGCUGCUGCUGAGAGUUCUCAAUAUGAGGCCAUUCAUGAGAUGCUACAGGCUGUCACCUCCCGUGACAAUCAGGAUGAUUGUAAUCCUUCCAAGGUAAAAUCUGUGAAUACGUUGUCAUCUUUAAAUCUUCAUCAUGCUUUUUAUUUAUUUAUUUAAAAAAGAAGAGUUGUAUACUAUACAGUUAGUGUGAGUGUGGUGGUAAAGUUGAUGAUAAGUUUGGCAUAUACAUUCCCCUUGAUCACCACUCUUUAUUAUUUUUGUUUGCAUCUAAUUGUAAUUUCUCUUUCUAGAUCACCAUAAAAUGUUGUAUAUGUUUGAAAAUGCUAGCGAAAUAUUUACCCAUUAUAAAUAAUAUGAUUGACAAGGUACGUUUUUACUGUUAUUUCUUUUUUCUUUUUAUUCUUUGUUCCAACAAAGCUCACUAUUUGUGCAUUUUAGUUAUAUAUUUAUUUAAAAAUGUUUAUGAAUGUAAUUUUCUAAGCCAUCCUUAGAAAUUGCAUUUGGUAUUAUUAUUAGUCAUAUUAUGGUUACAGUUUUGUUAUUAAUUCUCUCUAUGAAACUGUUCACAGUAAAUGAUGUACUAAUGUAAGUUUAAUUUAUUAAAACUAUCUUUGUUUCCUCACUCAGAAAAUAAACGCUGUAUGCCAUGCCAACUUAUUUCUCUGGAAACCAUGUCAAUCGCUUGCCAAAAAAAUAAAAAAAGGUUUUUCAAGGAUUUUUCCCUAAAGGAUCCUGCACUAAGUACAAAAUGUGCAAAUGAAAGGACUGAUUAAACCUGAACUAACGAGUCAGUCAAAGUACCAGAUCUUUAGAUAAGAUUGUUCACUUGUUUGUUUUGGCAGAAGCAUGAACUAAUAAAUAUUCUGUAUGACAAAGCAGCAUGAGCAGAUCAUUCAUUCUGUGUUUUAAAUUCAUCUAGGAAGCAAAUAACUGACAUCUGAAACAAAAAGUCUAAUAAUACUGAUUGUUAUUUAGCCAUUUACACUACUAUAAUGUAAUUUAGUGAUUUAAUAUCUGUACACCAGCUUUAAUUCAAUACAUCAAAAAUCAAUAUACCAUUUUUCAAGAAUUCAGGUGCAGUAUUACUGAUGGUUAGGUGAACUGAAGAGACAGUCAGUGUAGAAAAUGCUGACCGGAGCUCUUAUGAAAAAACGCUUGACACUUUGGUCCACAGUGGUUUUGGUGCCAUGAACAUCAGCACUCCAAAAGACUUGCACAAACAUUUAUUAUCUUUCAAAGUUCUUCAUAACUGUGAAGAGGACAAACACAAGAGAGACAGUUUCACGUGAUCUGAAAAUCACCUGAACUCUUAAAGAAAGCAGAUGUGUUUUGGCUUAGUGACUUAUUAAGAAGAGGAUUUGAAGAAUAAUGUCUCCUGUUGUUCAUUUUGGACUGCUUAUUGCAUGCUCAGGUGAGUUUGAAGAACUAAUUGAAUUCAACUUAAAAUUUAUUCUAUGGCUCGUUCAUUGAUUUGCAUUUACUUUAUUAUUAGUAUAAUAUUAAUCAAAUUCUGCUCUCAAGUAUAAUCUGUUUUUGUGGCUCAGUUCUUGUUGGGUGCAGCAGCAUUAACAAGAAACAAUGGAAGAGCAUGCUGAAUAGAAAUGAGCUGAACCUUCUCGAAGAAGUCAAAAUGAGUCCUGAAUUGAACAUGGAGGUAAACUGAAGCAUAAUGUAAUGGAAUAGAUUUAAUUAUUAUUAUUUUCCCCUGCCUUGCACUUCUUAAAUGUUUUACCAUCCCCCAGAAGUCCGACAUGAACGCCAUUAUGUGCUGGGUUUGCAAGAAAUCAAUUCAUGAGAUCAAGGGUGUGGUUCUCCGUCAGAUUAAAAAGGUGAACUAAAACUCUUUUACUUAUAUUGUACAGAUAUUUUGCUUAAAGGCCUGACCAGUCUUUAAUAAAAUGUGUUUUCUUUAAGGAAAUAAAGGCACUGUGCAGAGCAAUGAAAAUCCUUGAACACAUCUGUGAGAACAGUGCUUAUAAAUACCAGUUAAUGAUACUUCAUCUACUGUUUCCUAGAAAUAGCAAACAAACGUGUCACCAUUUGGGUGUGUGUAAAUGAAUUGUAUUGCUCUGUCAUGAAGAACCAAAUUAUUUUCCAAAUAUUUCAAUAAAUAAGUGGUCUGUUUGAUGGUGAUUUUUUUUUUUCCAAUGCAGGCAAUUCAAUGCUACUUUUCUAGAAUAUUGUGUGCAUUGUACGCUGUAUAAACCAUUAUAAGCAAAAUCUAAUAACCAACAAAGAUGCAAUACAUUUGUUUAUUUGAUUUAAUAUAGGCUAAUUUACUGCUUCUUGUGCAUAUUUUGUUCACUAAUCAUGUCAUGAUACUAGAUUUUAUUUGCAUUUGCUGAAAACCUUUUUAUAAAUAAAACAGCAAGCCUUCUCAGAUAUGGCCAAUUUGAGUUUUUAUAUAUUCUGACCUCUGAUUGAAGAAUAUUUGACCAUGUGACUGCUGACACAAUUCCCGCGCUGCCCGGGAAGGGAGAGGAUGUGCACGUGCACGACGUCCAGUUUGAAAUAUUAUGAUUUUGUCUUAAUUCACCUUUAAAGUAUCAUUAAUGUUAUGCACAUCAGCUAAACUGCAAUCUUACCUUCUCCAGUAGUCGAUCUAAACACAUCUCUGAAAACCAUGCGCGUGUCGUAAUUAAGUUACUGAGCCGCGGUUUUUUAAACUGAGGUAAAUUUUGUUUACAGGUGAAAACUCGCUCAUAUAAGGCUAAAAAAAAUCAUCAUAACCACAUAAAUUUAAGCAUAUAAACAUUUAAGCUUAAAUUUGAGUUAUAUAGGAAUGCUAAGAGUCAAUUUUAUCGAUUUAGGGGAUAGAAAUUAAAUAACAUUUAGAAAAUAUCUGGGAAUAUGAACAAACAGGAAUUACAUAAAUUAAUACCCAUGUAAUUUUUGCUAAAAUAAUUAUUCAAUUAUAAUAUGUACACAGUGGCAGGUCUGUAAUAUCG
rnacentral:lncRNA from 1 species